UCCUUACAAUACAACCAUACUUAAUGAUUGGUAAUUCCUUACUAGUUAAUGAGUUUCGGACUUAAGUAUGAUGUUGUGUUUGCAUAUAGUUCGGGUAACCGAACUUGAGUAACAAAUAUGUUACUCAUUUACUUCCUGUAUAUU
rnacentral:sRNA from 1 species